rnacentral:rRNA from 1 species
CCUACGGGUGGCAGCAGUGGGGAAUAUUGGACAAUGGGCGAAAGCCUGAUCCAGCCAUGCCGCGUGUGUGAAGAAGGCCUUCGGGUUGUAAAGCACUUUCAGUGGGGAAGAAAGCCUUGGGGCUAAUACCCUCGAGGAAGGACAUCACCCACAGAAGAAGCACCGGCUAACUCCGUGCCAGCAGCCGCGGUAAUACGGAGGGUGCGAGCGUUAAUCGGAAUUACUGGGCGUAAAGCGCGCGUAGGCGGUCUGAUAAGCCGGUUGUGAAAGCCCCGGGCUCAACCUGGGAACGGCAUCCGGAACUGUCAGGCUAGAGGGCAGGAGAGGAAGGUAGAAUUCCCGGGGUAGCGGUGAAAUGCGUAGAGAUCGGGAGGAAUACCAGUGGCGAAGGCGGCCUUCUGGACUGACACUGACGCUGAGGUGCGAAAGCGUGGGUAGCAAACAGGAUUAGAUACCCGUGUAGUC